rnacentral:rRNA from 1 species
GACGAACGCUGGCGGCGUGCUUAACACAUGCAAGUCGAACGGAAAGGCCCUGCUUUUGUGGGGUGCUCGAGUGGCGAACGGGUGAGUAACACGUGAGUAACCUGCCCUUGACUUUGGGAUAACUUCAGGAAACUGGGGCUAAUACCGGAUAGGAGCUCCUGCUGCAUGGUGGGGGUUGGAAAGUUUCGGCGGUUGGGGAUGGACUCGCGGCUUAUCAGCUGGUUGGUGAGGUAGUGGCUUCCCAGGGCUUUGACGGGUAGCCCGCCUGAGAGGGUGACCGGCCACAUUGGGACUGAGAUACGGCCCAGAAUCCUACGGGAGGCAGCAGUCGGGAAUAUUGCACAAUGGGCGGACGCCUGAUGCAGAAACGCCGCGUGCGGGAUGACGGCCUACGAGUUGUAAACCGCUUUCGCCUGUGACGAAGCGUGAGUGACGGUAAUGGGUAAAGAAGCACCGGCUAACUACGUG